UAUUCCAACCAGUGGAGCACAAGUUGUACUAUUUAGCUAAUUUUGUUUUCCCAAAAUGUGGACUUUAACAUUUGUCGUGUUUCUUUCCUUCAGUUCAAACAAAGAAUAUUCUCAGAGUGGAUUAAUGAACGCAUGUACUCACCCGUUUAGGAGAUAUGACAUGAUGUGACUCCUAUCGCACCUGGGACCACACCUCUGGUGGACACAAGUGAGACUGGGAAACACUGGAGGAAAAUGAGGGAAUAAUUAUGUAUGACAUACUGG